GACAGAGGGGGCAAGCGUUAUUCGGAAUCACUGGGCGUAAAGCGUGCGUAGGCGGGCGUUUAAGUAGCAUGUGAAAUCCCACGGCUCAACCGUGGAACUGCUGGGUAUACUGGUUGUCUUGAGCCAGCUAGGGGCGAGCGGAACAGACGGUGGAGCGGUGAAAUGCGUAGAUAUCGUCUGGAACGCCGAAGGUGAAAACAGCUCGCUGGGGCUGCGCUGACGCUGAGACACGAAAGCCAGGGGAGCGAACGGG
rnacentral:rRNA from 1 species